AUUGAACGCUGGCGGCAUGCUUUACACAUGCAAGUCGAACGGUAACAGGGUGCUUGCACCGCUGACGAGUGGCGAACGGGUGAGUAACGCGUCGGAACGUGCCGAGUAAUGGGGGAUAACGCAGCGAAAGUUGUGCUAAUACCGCAUACGCUCUGAGGAGGAAAGCAGGGGAUCGUAAGACCUUGCGUUACUCGAGCGGCCGACGUCUGAUUAGCUAGUAGGUGAGGUAAAGGCUCACCUAGGCGACGAUCAGUAGCGGGUCUGAGAGGAUGAUCCGCCACACUGGGACUGAGACACGGCCCAGACUCCUACGGGAGGCAGCAGUGGGGAAUUUUGGACAAUGGGCGAAAGCCUGAUCCAGCCAUGCCGCGUGUCUGAAGAAGGCCUUCGGGUUGUAAAGGACUUUUGUCAGGGAGGAAAUCCCUAGCGCUAAUAUCGCUGGGGGAUGACAGUACCUGAAGAAUAAGCACCGGCUAACUACGUGCCAGCCGCCGCCGUAA
rnacentral:rRNA from 1 species